AGGACGAACGCUGGCGGCGUGGAUUAGGCAUGCAAGUCGAGCGACGGACAGUCUUCGGACUGUUACGGAGCGGCGAACGGGUGAGUAACACGUGAAUAACCUGCCCUCACAUUCUGGAUAAUUCACCGAAAGGUGUUGUAAUACAGGCGAGGAUUCUUAAGAGGCAUUUCUUGAGAAGGGAAGGCGCAAGCCGUGCGAGGAGGGGUUCGCGGAUUAUCAGGUAGUUGGUGGGGUAACGGCCCACCAAGCCGACGACGAUUAGCUGGUCUGAGAGGAUGGUCAGCCACAUUGGGACUGAGACACUGCCCAGACUCCUACGGGAGGCUGCAGUCGAGAAUCUUGCACAAUGUACGAAAGUAUGAUGCAGCGACGCCGCGUGAAGGAUGAAGGCCCUCGUGGUCGUAAACUUCUUUAUGUGGAAGAAUAAAUGACGUACCACAUAGAAUAAGCCACGGCUAACUACGUGACCAGCAGCCGCGGUAAUCGUGA
rnacentral:rRNA from 1 species